rnacentral:rRNA from 1 species
CAGUAGCCGCGGUAAUACAGAGGGUGCAAGCGUUAAUCGGAAUUACUGGGCGUAAAGCGCGCGUAGGUGGUUUGUUAGGUUGGAUGUGAAAUCCCCGGGCUCAACCUGGGAACUGCAUUCAAAACUGACUGACUAGAGUAUGGUAGAGGGUGGUGGAAUUUCCUGUGUAGCGGUGAAAUGCGUAGAUAUAGGAAGGAACACCAGUGGCGAAGGCGACCACCUGGACUAAUACUGACACUGAGGUGCGAAAGCGUGGGGAGCAAACAGGAUUAGAUACCCCUGUAGUCCCUGUCUCUUAUAC